GCGCCCGUAGCUCAGGUGGAUAGAGCAUCGGUUUCCUAAACCGGGGGUCGCAGGUUCAAGUCCUGCCGGGCGCGCCA
rnacentral:tRNA from 1 species